AAGAGAAAGGUACUGAAAUAUGCUUUGCGUAUUUCAAAAGUGAGUUUUCGUAAGAAAAUUCACAAGCUGUAAAUAAUUGCAGCUGGUGUUUGUGUAUACACCAAAAUUUGAGUUCAUUUACUCAAAAAUCUUACUGCUCUUUCUUUCCCCUUAAUUUUUUAUAUAAACUGGGACUGUAGCUCAGUCGGUUAGAGCACUUCUCUGAUAAGGAAGGGGUCGUUAGUUCAACUCUAACCAGUCCCACAUAUCAAAGGUGCUUUUUUUAUACCUUUGCUGUUUAUACACUCUGAAAGAGUGCAUAAACAAGAGAUCUUUGACAUAACAAGGGAAGGAAGUAAUAACAAUCAUAAUGUAAAGAUGUUUUUUUAAGACAUUUUUACUUUAGCUUGCUUGUUUUUAAGACAAAAAGUUUUAAAAACAAAUAAACGAAGGUUAACUAUUUUGUGCGAAAGUACAAGAUAGUGUGAAGAAAAAUUAAAAGACUGUAUAAGCAGAAAGCAUAAUAU
rnacentral:tRNA from 1 species